AACGAACGCUGGCGGCAUGCCUAACACAUGCAAGUCGAACGAGACCUUCGGGUCUAGUGGCGCACGGGUGCGUAACGCGUGGGAACCUGCCCUUAGGUUCGGAAUAACUCCCCGAAAGGGGUGCUAAUACCGGUUAAUGUUUCCGGACCAAAGAUUUAUCGCCUUUGGAUGGGCCCGCGUUGGAUUAGCUAGUUGGUAGGGUAAAAGCCUACCAAGGCGACGAUCCAUAGCUGGUCUGAGAGGAUGAUCAGCCACACUGGGACUGAGACACGGCCCAGACUCCUACGGGAGGCAGCAGUGGGGAAUAUUGGACAAUGGGCGAAAGCCUGAUCCAGCAAUGCCGCGUGAGUGAUGAAGGCCUUAGGGUUGUAAAGCUCUUUUACCCGGGAUGAUAAUGACAGUACCGGGAGAAUAAGCUCCGGCUAACUCCGUG
rnacentral:rRNA from 1 species